rnacentral:rRNA from 1 species
CGUAGUUAAGUUACAUAUGGCGGAUAGCGGAUGCCUUGGUGAUGAACGGCGAUGAAGGACGUGGAAAACUGCGAUAAGCUUCGGUAAGCUGUUAACGAGCGUUAUAACCGGAGAUUUCCGAAUGGGAAAACCUAAUUGAGUAAACCUCAAUUAUCAUGCAGUGAAUACAUAGCUGUAUGAAGCGAACGGAGGGAAGUGAAACAUCUCAGUACCUCUAGGAAUAUAAAUCAAAAGAGAUUCCCAAAGUAGUGGCGAGCGAAAUGGGAUUAGCCUAAAUUGUAGGUGUGUAAGCUUGUGGGCGUUGCACUUACUUGGUCGUGGGAGUUAUUUUCGAUUUACCACAAUAAAUCGGCAGAGUUACAAAGUAAGAUAUUAUUUUAAAUACCUGGGAAGGUAUGCCAUAGAAGGUGAUAGCCCUGUGAAUUAAAAUGUCUUACCUCUGUUAAUAAUUUCCCGAGUAGAACGGAACACGAGAAAUUUUGUUUGAAUCUGGGAGGACCACCUUCCAAGGCUAAAUACGUGUCAUCAUCCGAUAGUGUACUAGUACCGUGAGGGAAAGGUGAAAAGAACCCCUGUGAGGGGAGUGAAAUAGAAUCUGAAACUGUCUGCCAACAAGCGGUCGGAGGGCUAUGUCUGAGUUUACUCAGAAAUGCCUGACGGCGUACCUUUUGCAUAAUGGGCCAGGGACUUAUCUUUAAUAGCAAGAUUAAGCCGUUAGGUGUAGUCGUAGCGAAAGCGAGUCUGAAUAGGGCGUUAGUUAUUGGAGAUAGACCCGAAGCGGGACGAUCUAGCCAUGGGCAGGGUGAAGCAUCAGGAAACUGAUGUGGAGGCCCGAACCGUUGAAGGGUGAAAACUUCUCGGAUGACCUGUGGUUAGGAGUGAAAGGCUAAUCAAGUUCCGUGAUAGCUGGUUCUCCUCGAAAUAUAUUUAGGUAUAGCCUCAUGCGUUCUCCUCUGGGGGUAGAGCACUGAUUGGACUAGGGGGUCGAAAGACUUACCAAACCCUAUCAAACUCCGAAUACCAGAGAUAGUAGCAUGGGAGUCAGUCUAUGGGUGCUAAGGUCCAUAGACGAAAGGGAAACAACCCAGAUCGCAAUCUAAGGUCCCCAAAUCUAGACUAAGUGGUUAAGGACGUAAAUUUUCAUAGACAGCCAGGAGGUAGGCUUAGAAGCAGCCAUCCUUUAAAGAUAGAGUAACAUCUCACUGGUCGAUGAGAGUUUGCACCGAAAAUGAAUCGGGGCUAAGUCUAGUACCGAAGAUGCGGAUUGUAUGUUUACAUACAGUGGUAGAGGAGCGUUCUUAUUGGAAUGAAGCAUUACCGUAAGGAGAUGUGGACUUAUAAGAAGUGAGAAUCCUGGCAUGAGUAGCGAUAAAAAUGGUGAGAAUCCAUUUCACCGUAAGCGUAAGGGUUCCUGGGCAAGGCUCGUCCUCCCAGGGUUAGUCGGGACCUAAGGCGAGGCCGAAAGGCGUAGUCGAUGGAAAACAGGUUAAUAUUCCUGUACCACCUAUUAGGAGUGAUGGGGUGACGGAGAAGGAUAGAUCAGCCGUGUGUUGGAUUACACGGUUCAAGCUUGUAGGAUUAAGAGAUUGGCAAAUCCGUCUCUUUUUAAGUCCGAGAAGUGAGUACGAGAGGCCCUAGGCCUCAUAAAGUGAUUGAUUCCAUGCUUCCUAGAAAAACCUCUAAAUGUUGAAUAAUAGGUGCUCGUACUGUAAACGGACACACGUACGCGGGUAGAGUAUACCAAGGUGUUUGAGAUAAUUAUGGCCAAGGAACUCGGCAAAAUAGCUCCGUAACUUCGGGAUAAGGAGUGCCUAUGUUAGGUGAAGGAUCUUGCAUCUGGAGCUGAGAUAGGUGACACUGAAAUGAUGGAAGCGACUGUUUACCAAAAACACAGGCCUGUGCUAACCCGCAAGGGGAUGUAUACGGGCUGACGCCUGCCCGGUGCUGGACGGUUAAGGGGACGGGUUAUCCUUCGGGAGAAGCUUGGAACCGAAGCCCCAGUAAACGGCGGCCGUAACUAUAACGGUCCUAAGGUAGCGAAAUUCCUUGUCGUCUAAUUAGCGACCCGCAUGAAUGGCGUAACGACUUCUGUACUGUCUCGGCCAUAAUCUCAGCGAAAUUGUAGUGCUGGUGAAGAUGCCAGCUUCCCGUUGUGGGACGGAAAGACCCCGUGCACCUUUACUAUAACCUAGCACUGGAUUUUGAUUUUAAAUGCGUAGGAUAGGUGGGAGACUAUGAAAGUUUAAUUUUGGUUAAGCUGGAGUCGUUGGUGAAAUACCACCCUUUUGAUGUUAGGAUUCUAACUUAAAUCCGUUAUCCGGAUUGAGGACAAUGUUAGGCGGGUAGUUUGACUGGGGCGGUUGACUCCUAAAGAGUAACGGAGUCGCUCAAAGGUUCUCUCAGCCUGAUUGGAAACCAGGCGUCGAGUGUAAUGGCACAAGAGAGCUUGACUGUGAGAUUGACAAAUCGAGCAGGUACGAAAGUAGGACAUAGUGACCCGGUGGCUUCCAUGUGGGAGGGCCAUCGAUCAUCGGAUAAAAGGUACGCCGGGGAUAACAGAUUAAUCGCGCCCAAGAGUUCACAUCGACGGCGCGGAUUGAUACCUCGAUGUCGGCUCAUCGCAUCCCGGGGCUGUAGAAGGUCCCAAGGGUUGAGCUGUUCGCUCAUUAAAGCGGUACGCGAGCUGGGUUCAGAACGUCGUGAGACAGUUCGGUCCCUAUCUACAACGGGCGAAGGAGAAUUGAGAGGGGUUGCUCAUAGUACGAGAGGACCUGAGUGAACAAACCUCUAGUGUACCAGUUGUUGUGCCAACAGCAGUGCUGGGUAGCUACGUUUGGAAAGGAUAACCGCUGAAAGCAUCUUAAGUGGGAAACCUGCCUCGAGAUUAAUUCUCCCGAACCAUUAGGUUCCUUAAGACCACUCGAAGACUACGAGUUUGAUAGGCACAGUGUGUAAGUUCAGUAAUGAAUUCAGCUAAUGUGUACUAAUCGGUCGUGAGCCUUAACUAC